rnacentral:rRNA from 1 species
GACGAACGCUGGCGGCGCGCUUAACACAUGCAAGUCGAACGGAAAGGCCUGCUUUCCCUUGUGGAUUGCGGGUACUCGAGUGGCGAACGGGUGAGUAACACGUGAGUGAUCUGCCCCCAACUUGGGUAUAAGCCUGGGAAACUGGGUCUAAUUCCCGAUAGGACUGCAGGGUGGUGCCUGUGGUGGAAAACGAUUUUCUAGUGGUUGGGGAUGAGCUCGCGGCCUAUCAGCUUGUUGGUGGGGUAAUGGCCUACCAAGGCGGCGACGGGUAGCCGGCCUGAGAGGAUGGACGGCCACAUUGGGACUGAGAUACGGCCCAGACUCCUACGGGAGGCAGCAGUGGGGAAUAUUGCACAAUGGGCGGAAGCCUGAUGCAGCGACGCCGCGUGGGGGAUGACGGCCUUCGGGUUGUAAACUCCUUUCGACCGCGAGGAAGCCACCUGGUUGGAAGGGUGGUGACGGUAGUGGUAGAAGAAGCACCGGCUAACUACGUG